rnacentral:rRNA from 1 species
CUGGGCGUAAAGGGUGUGUAGACGGCUUUUUAAGUUUGGUGUGAAAUCUCCCGGCUCAACUGGGAGGGUGCGCCGAAAACUGAAAGGCUAGAGUGCGGGAGAGGAGAGUGGAAUUCCUGGUGUAGCGGUGAAAUGCGUAGAUAUCAGGAGGAACACCGGUGGUGUAGACGGCUCUCUGGACCGCAACUGACGCUGAGACACGAAAGCGUGGGUAGCAAACAGGAUUAGAUACCCUGGUAGUCCACGCCCUAAACGAUGCAUAUUUGGUGUGGGUCAUUCAGUUGAUCCGUGCCGGAGCUAACGCGUUAAAUAUGCCGCCUGGGGAGUACAGUCGCAAGGCUGAAACUCAAAGGAAUUGACGGGGGCCCGCACAAGCGGUGGAGCAUGUGGUUCAAUUCGACGCAACGCGAAGAACCUCACCUGGGCUCGAACGGCCGGUCAACGUGGGUGGAAACACUUAUACCCCGCAAGGGGGUCCGGUCGAGGUGCUGCAUGGCUGUCGUCAGCUCGUGUCGUGAGAUGUUGGGUUAAGUCCCGCAACGAACRCAACCCUUGUCCUGUGUUGCCAUGCCGAAAGGCGGAACUCGCAGGAGACCGCCAGCGAUAAGCUGGAGGAAGGUGGGGAUGACGUCAAGUCCUCAUGGCCUUUAUGUCCAGGGCUACACACGUGCUACAAUGGACGGUACAAAGCGCAGCCAACCCGCGAGGGGGAGCCAAUCGCAGAAAACCGUUCUCAGUUCGGAUUGCAGCUGCAACCCGCCUGCAU